rnacentral:misc_RNA from 1 species
GAUGAAGAACGUAGCGAAAUGCGAUAAGUAAUGUGAAUUGCAGAAUUCAGUGAAUCAUCGAAUCUUUGAACGCACCUUGCGCCCUUUGGCCAUUCCGAAGGGCAUGCCUGUUUGAGUAUCAUGAACACCUCAACUCUUUAUGGUUUUCCAUGAUGAGCUUGGACUCUGGGGGUUUUGCUGGCUCACAGUCGGCUCCUCUAAAAUGAAUCAGCUUACCAGUGUUUGGUGGGUAUCAUGGGUGUGAUAACUAUCUACGCUUGUGGUGUUUCCACCAGGUAACCUUCAGCAGUGGAGGUUCGCUGGAGCUCAUAGAUGUCUCUCCUCAGUGAGGACAGCCCUUUGAAUGUUUGAUCUCAAAUCAGGUAGGACUACCCGCUGAACUUAAGCAUAUCAAUAAGCGGAGGA